rnacentral:rRNA from 1 species
GACGAACCGUGCGAACGUUAUUCGGAAUCACUGGGCUUAAAGCGCGUGUAGGCGGGACGGCACGUCGGUCGCUGAAAUCCCCCGGCUCAACCGGGGAACGGGCGCCGAUACGACCGUCCUGGAGGGACGUAGGGGGACCUGGAACUUCCGGUGGAGCGGUGAAAUGCGUAGAUAUCGGAAGGAACACCGGUGGCGAAAGCGGCGCGCUGGACCCCUUCUGACGCUGAGGCGCGAAAGCCAGGGGAGCAAACGGG